AUUUUUCAGGAACGGGCGGUAUGCAGGAAGGGAGCGGGCGUGGAAAGACGUCGCUCCCUGGCCCCGCGGGUCCCGGGCCUUUUUCUUAUGCCCCCCAGUUCCGGGAUCUCAGAGGCCGCGGCUUAGGAGAUCUUCAGCACUUCUUUUGUCUAAGAGAAGGAAUGGGACCGCGUCCAGAGGUCCUGAGGUCAGACUCUAAGAACCACCUUCCCCAAAUUGGCUAGCAGUGAGGUUUCUCUGUGGCUUUGGAGGCUGUCCUGGAACUAGCUCUUGCAGACCAGGCUGAUCUUGAACUCACAGAGAUCCGCCUGCCUCUGCCUCUCCAGUCCUGGGACUAAAGGCGUGCACCCACCACUGCCCUUCUAGGCUUGCUGCUUUCACCCGUUCUGAGAAGCAUUGAGUACGUGUGGCCACCAGGUGGCACUGCAGGACAGUCACCUCUGCCUCCCACGGGUCAGGCGGGCCAGGACCCAGGUGCUGCCACCUUGUGGAACUGUUGCUCUGUGCUCUGCCCUGCACACUCAAAUUUGGUCUCAAACCCUCCGUUUUUGGCAGGACAUCCAACACGUAGAAGACAGGAUAUCUUGAUAGCAGUCUAUUCUAGAUGCAGACUGGAAACCCUAGGUGGCAGAGACCCUCCAGCAGCUGGCUCUGCCUUCCUGAGUCCAGAUGACUGAGUCUGCAGGAAAAUAAUAACUACCUAAUAAAGAUUUGAAUUUUUCACCCAGUGAGCACUGGUUGAA